rnacentral:rRNA from 1 species
UGGGGAAUUUUGGGACAAUGGGCGAAAGCCUGAUCCAGCAAUGCCGCGUGUGUGAAGAAGGCCUUCGGGUUGUAAGCACUUUUGUCCGGAAAGAAAUCCUUGGCUCUAAUACAGUCGGGGGAUGACGGUACCGGAAGAAUAAGCACCGGCUAACUACGUGCCAGCAGCCGCGGUAAUACGUAGGGUGCAAGCGUUAAUCGGAAUUACUGGGCGUAAAGCGUGCGCAGGCGGUUUGCUAAGACCGAUGUGAAAUCCCCGGGCUCAACCUGGGAACUGCAUUGGUGACUGGCAGGCUAGAGUAUGGCAGAGGGGGGUAGAAUUCCACGUGUAGCAGUGAAAUGCGUAGAGAUGUGGAGGAAUACCGAUGGCGAAGGCAGCCCCCUGGGCCAAUACUGACGCUCAUGCACGAAAGCGUGGGGAGCAAACAGGAUUAGAUACCCUGGUAGUCCACGCCCUAAACGAUGUCAACUAGUUGUUGGGGAUUCAUUCCUUAGUAACGUAGCUAACGCGUGAAGUUGACCG